UCCGUAGGCGGGCAAUUAAGUCAGAGGUGAAAUCCCACAGCUCAACUGUGGAACUGCCUUUGAUACUGGUUGUCUUGAGUUACAGUGAAGUAGAUAGAAUAUGUAGUGUAGCGGUGAAGUGCAUAGAUAUUACAUAGAAUACCGAUUGCGAAGGCAGUCUACUAACUGUAUACUGACGCUAAUGGACGAAAGCGUGGGGAGCGAACAGGAUUAGAUACCCUGGUAGUCC
rnacentral:rRNA from 1 species